rnacentral:rRNA from 1 species
AUUGAACGCUGGCGGCAUGCCUUACACAUGCAAGUCGAACGGUAACGCGGGGCAACCUGGCGACGAGUGGCGAACGGGUGAGUAAUGCAUCGGAACGUACCCAGUAGUGGGGGAUAGCCCGGCGAAAGCCGGAUUAAUACCGCAUACGACCUAAGGGUGAAAGCGGGGGACCGUAAGGCCUCGCGCUAUUGGAGCGGCCGAUGUCAGAUUAGGUAGUUGGUGGGGUAAUGGCCUACCAAGCCGACGAUCCAUAGCUGGUUUGAGAGGAUGAUCAGCCACACUGGGACCGAGACACGGCCCAGACUCCUACGGGAGGCAGCAGUGGGGAAUCUUAGACAAUGAGGGCAACCCUGAUCUAGCCAUGCCGCGUGAGUGAUGAAGGCCCUAGGGUUGUAAAGCUCUUUCAGCUGGGAAGAUAAUGACGGUACCAGCAGAAGAAGCCCCGGCUAACUCCGUG